UACAUGUGGGGCAAGCGUUGUUCGGAAUUACUGGGCGUAAAGCGCGCGCAGGCGGUCUUCCAAGUCAGUGGUGAAAGCCCGGAGCUCAACUCCGGAACUGCCAUUGAAACUGUUGGACUUGAGUACGAGAGAGGUGAGUGGAAUUCCCAGUGUAGAGGUGAAAUUCGUAGAUAUUGGGAAGAACACCGGUGGCGAAGGCGGCUCACUGGCUCGUAACUGACGCUCAGGCGCGACAGCGUGGGGAUCAAACAGG
rnacentral:rRNA from 1 species